AAUAGUUGGAGCACAAGAAGAUCUAUGUCUUUGAUUGAACAAAUUCCACUUGCCAAUGGUUAUGCCUUGGUAAUCCUUUUUGAAGGGAGGCCUCACAGCAGUCAGGAUUCCACGCGCAACAAAAAUUCUGUGCAUGAGCACCUUUCAGCAUCAUCGCCAAAACAACCAUAAGCAGAAAAAUCAUCAUCACUUUGUUUGCAAAGCUCAUUUCUCCUUUCGUUAGAAA
rnacentral:lncRNA from 1 species